rnacentral:rRNA from 1 species
GAUGAACGCUGGCGGCGUGCCUAAUACAUGCAAGUCGAGCGAACAGAUGAGGAGCUUGCUCCUCUGACGUUAGCGGCGGACGGGUGAGUAACACGUGGAUAACCUACCUAUAAGACUGGGAUAACUUCGGGAAACCGGAGCUAAUACCGGAUAAUAUAUUGAACCGCAUGGUUCAAUAGUGAAAGACGGUUUUGCUGUCACUUAUAGAUGGAUCCGCGCCGCAUUAGCUAGUUGGUAAGGUAACGGCUUACCAAGGCAACGAUGCGUAGCCGACCUGAGAGGGUGAUCGGCCGCACUGGAACUGAGACACGGUCCAGACGCCUACGGGAGGCAGCAGUAGGGAAUCUUCCGCAAAGGGCGAAAGCCUGACGGAGCAACGCCGCGUGAGUGAUGAAGGUCUUCGGAUCGUAAAACUCUGUUAUUAGGGAAGAACAAAUGUGUAAGUAACUAUGCACGUCUUGACGGUACCUAAUCAGAAAGCCACGGCUAACUACGUG